rnacentral:ribozyme from 1 species
UCCUCGUAUUGCCUUCUCAAUAGCAGGAUUGCCACAAACAGGUCAAGUUGUUGUAACAUUAGCGUAGAUUAGCUUAGCUAUCAAGAUGGUCUCA